rnacentral:misc_RNA from 1 species
UUCAAAUUACGCAAAUUCAAAACCUUCGAGACCCAAAAUGAAUGGCGGAGAUGAAGAAAAGGGUUUAAUCUGGAAGCUACCAAUAGUUAAAUCAAAGCAUUUAGGAAAAAUCGGACCUGGCUUUGGAAUCGGCGUUGGCUGUGGUUUUGGUAUCGGAAUUGGUCUUAUCGGAGGCACUGGUUUUGGUCCCGGACUUCCUGGAUUGCAGCUAGGUUUUGGAUUAGGUGCUGGUUGUGGAAUUGGUGUAGGUUUUGGUUAUGCAGUUGGUAGAGGUUAUGGUUAUGAUGAUAACCGGAGAUACUCGAAUGCCGGUACUCGGCCGGCGAGUUUUCCGAAUCAUGAUGAAGUAGGUCAAUUGAUUGAUGAAAUUGUUGCCAAUACUAAGAAAUUGAUCAAAACAACUACACAAGAGUUAGAUAAAUGGAGAAGAGCUUAACUGUGUGCUGUUAUGGGUAAGUUUCAG